AACGCACAUUGCGCCCCCUGGUAUUCCGGGGGGCAUGCCUGUCCGAGCGUCAUUACAACCCUCAAGCUCUGCUUGGUGUUGGGCCCCGCCGCCCCGGCGGGCCCCAAAGUCAGUGGCGGUGCCGUCCGGCUCCGAGCGCAGUAGUUACUCUCGCUCUGGAGGCCCGGGUGUGUGCCUGCCAGCAACCCCCAUUUUUUUUCAGGUUGACCUCGGAUCAGGUAGGGAUACCCGCUGAACUUAA
rnacentral:misc_RNA from 1 species